UAUAUAUAUAUAUAUAUACACAUAUACACACACACCCAGGUGUUAUGAUGCAAUGAUCAUAAUGCCAUAUUGUUGUUUUCUUUAGUUCGAAUCCUCAAGGUGAUGGGAAUGGCAAAAGAUAUAGUUUAAAGGGCAGAUAGAACCUAUCCAAGAUUACUAUUUAAUGUUUUUUGAACUUUUGUGCUUUUCUGCCUUCUGCUAUAGAUCUGGAGGAGGGCCAUGUGCUUGGAUGCCUCAAGAGGGAUGACAAUUUUGUUGAGCACAGAGGAUUAUUUCAGGAGGGAACAUGUCAUGACUUUCAACAUGAAAUUUGAAUGUUACAAGUUGCAAACUCAUAUUAAUUAAGAAUGCCUUUAGUUGCAAACUCAAAUUAAUUAAGAAUGCCUUUAGCAGGAAAAGAGCUUACUUUAGAAAAGUAUUUUAAAAAGCGUACGAUGGAAAAUGCAAUGUUACAACUUGAAUUUGCCCUUCAUACCAUUGUAUGUGAAGAUGAUGGUUCAUAGCAAAGAGCUGUGAUGAAUAUAAUUUUAAGAUACAAUUGGAAAUGUAAAUAUAGCACCCAAGGCAAGGAUGCAUCCCAUUUCUUCAUCUGCUUUUGUUUAUGUUUUUUCAUCUGUUUGAAAUUUCCUUGGUAUUGUUUGCCUAAAUUUCAAUUGGGGUAUUUUCUAGAAUUGGUAAUCAAUUCUUCUCAAAUCAAUUGAAAAAUAAAAUUUUAUCACUGAAAGAGAACAUAUUCAUUGUCACAUAUAGAUUCCUGGAAAACCACAUACAUGUAACAAGAAUGGUAACAAGUUUAGAAUCAUUUAAGAUUGAAGAUGUGAGUUGGGAAAAAGUCACUUGCCCUUAUGUCCAUUGGACUUGAGUAGGUCACCCUCACUGCAAAUGUGAAAAUACAGUAGCAUUGUGUUUUGGAAAUACUAUGUGCAAACCAAGUCUGUGGCAAAACAUUAACCUCAAUAUGUCAUUUCAUAUCUAUUUAUUUUUGCAAAAUACUACAAACUCAUUUUUGUGCUAACUUGUACAUAAUUUCAAAAUAUCAAAUUAAUGUUAAUAUAUAUAUAUAUAUAUAUAUAUAUAUAUAUAUAAAUAUUUUAAGAUUUGAAUGUAGAUUGCUUAUUUUAUUUGAUUUAUUUUGUCUUCUGCUCUCUUCAUACAUUGUAAAAUGUUACUUUGUUUAACAUUUUUAUCUGUAGAAAGUCUGAUUUUAAUUUGAGCUAAAUCAUUGUUCAUGCUCAUUAUAUGCAUUAAAAUUACCUAGCAAUAAAAACAUAGCACUUUUUGAGCAUAACAUACACAUGAUAAAUUAAGUCAGAAUAGUAUUUUAUUAAGUAUAUAAAAUUAAAUCUAUUGCAAAACUCAAUUAGAAACUACAUUUUAAUAGCCAUUUGUAUGUUUUAUUCAUAUUUCAUAAUUAAAUUUAAGACCAAUACAAAAAAAAACAUAGAGGUAUUACCAAAAAUUAAAUUUAAAAAUACCUAAGUGACAAUGAUAUUGUUAAAAGAGCCAAUAACUAAUAAUAUAUGAAACACUUCAACACCCACUUUGGAGAAAGAUAUUGUGCUAUUA
rnacentral:lncRNA from 1 species